UACAGAGGGGGCAAGCGUUGUUCGGAAUUACUGGGCGUAAAGGGCGCGUAGGCGGCCCGCUAAGUCGAACGUGAAAUCCCCAGGCUUAACCUGGGAACUGCGUCCGAUACUGGUGGGCUUGAAUCCGGGAGAGGGAUGUGGAAUUCCAGGUGUAGCGGUGAAAUGCGUAGAUAUCUGGAGGAACAUCAGUGGCGAAGGCGACACCCUGGACUCAUACUGACACUGAGGUGCGAAAGCGUGGGGAGCAAACAGG
rnacentral:rRNA from 1 species